rnacentral:rRNA from 1 species
UACGUAGGGUGCGAGCGUUAAUCGGAAUUACUGGGCGUAAAGCGUGCGCAGGCGGUUCGUUGUGUCGGUGGUGAAAGCCCCGGGCUUAACCUGGGAAUGGCCAUGGAAACUGGCGAACUGGAGUGUGGCAGAGGGGGGUGGAAUUCCGCGUGUAGCAGUGAAAUGCGUAGAGAUGCGGAGGAACACCGAUGGCGAAAGCGACUCUCUGGACGGCAACUGACGCUGAGGCACGAAAGCGUGGGGAGCAAACAGG